rnacentral:rRNA from 2 species
UGGGGAAUAUUGCACAAUGGGGGAAACCCUGAUGCAGCCAUGCCGCGUGUGUGAAGAAGGCCUUCGGGUUGUAAAGCACUUUCAGUUGUGAGGAAAAGUUAGUAGUUAAUACCUGCUAGCCGUGACGUUAACAACAGAAGAAGCACCGGCUAACUCCGUG